AAAGGGCGUUUGGUGAAUGCCUUGGCAGUAAGAGGCGAUGAAAGACGUGAUACUCUGCGAUAAGUCAUGGGGAGCUGAGAAUAGGCUUUGAUCCAUGAAUUUCUGAAUGGGGCAACCCACCUGAUACUGUGUUAUUACUACCCUUCGGGGUGGCUAAUAAUACGGUAAACCAGGUAUUUCUAGACUGAAUACAUAGGUUUAGAAAAGCAAACCCGGGGAACUGAAACAUCUAAGUACC
rnacentral:rRNA from 12 species